GCUCCAGUCGAUUCCGUGCAAUAAAAAUAUCUCAGUAUCCAGCAUGAACUGGAGCUGCUGGAGAGGAGCGAUAAACAAAUAAAUGAAGGGACGCCUAACGCUAAGAGCUUGAGAAACAAUGCGGACACUCUGGCUGCCCUGCUGCCCUGGUGGAGAGCGAGCAGCACUGGAGGAAACCGAAUAGGCGGAGACGUUGCAGAAACCACAUCCCGUCUGGUGACGUCAAUGGGCUCUGGCCAAUCCCAAGGAGAGAACAGUCAAGCUGACAGUUUCCAUUAUGAUUUAACAAGCAUGCCAGAAUCUAAGUAGAACAGGAUUGUAAUGGUGUUGUUUAAGGAGCCUGAAAACACCUAGAGAGGGGAAGCUGUCAUAACUGAGGACAGGCAUCCUGAGGACAAGGCAGGAGGACAUGUUGAAGACCCACAAGCUCCAGGCCACUGUCAGCCCAGCACUGACCCAGCCCCAUGGUCUCCUCCCUCCAUUCUCUUCCAAUAUCAAGAAUGACUCACUGAGGGAAGAAAGACGCCUUCUCUUAAGCUUGUGCAAAUACAUAUAAUAGAUAUCUCUGAGCUACAGCAGACGAGACAAAAGAUAAAGCUCAUAAAAUACAAGGACUGCUUCAGAAAACCUCUUGGGUGAGAGGUACCUGGGGGAAUUUUUAAAUCUUGACAUGAAGACAGUCCUAGAAGUUCAAAUGUAGCGUGAGACUCAUCAAGAAUGAAAGCAUCUCUGACAUUCUAUCUAAAAAAGACCAACCUGAAAAAACAGACUUCAAUCAGGAAAGCGGCUUCACACAGGAUGGGGCCAGGCUGGUCCUACCUGCACAGACUCCAGAUCUUUGGGAAGCAUGUCGUGGCAGAGGACCUCACCAUGGAAAUCACUCUGCUCUGUGGCCAUGAAUAAAAAAAAUUCAAAAUGUC